GUUGACCUCGGAUCAGGU
rnacentral:rRNA from 20 species